AACGAACGCUGGCGGCAGGCUUAACACAUGCAAGUCGAACGAGACCUUCGGGUCUAGUGGCAGACGGGUGAGGAACACGUGGGAACAUCCCUUUCAGUUCGGAAUAACGUUGGGAAACUAACGCUAAUACCGGAUACGUCCUUCGGGAGAAAGAUUUAUCGCUGAAAGAUAGGUCCGCGUCUGAUUAGCUAGUUGGUGAGGUAAUGGCUCACCAAGGCUACGAUCAGUAGCUGAUCUGAGAGGAUGAUCAGCCACAUUGGGACUGAGACACGGCCCAAACUCCUACGGGAGGCAGCAGUGGGGAAUAUUGGACAAUGGGCGCAAGCCUGAUCCAGCCAUGCCGCGUGAGUGAUGAAGGCCUUCGGGUUGUAAAGCUCUUUUGUCCGGGAAGAUAAUGACUGUACCGGAAGAAUAAGCCCCGGCAAACUUCGUGCCAGCAGCCGCCGUAA
rnacentral:rRNA from 1 species